rnacentral:rRNA from 1 species
UACGUAGGUGACCAGCGUUGUCCGGAUUUACUGGGCGUAAAGAGCGCGCAGGCGGUCGUUCAAGUCGAGUGUGAAAGCCCCCCGGCUCAACUGGGGAGGGUCAUUCGAUACUGAUCGACUCGAAGGCAGGAGAGGGUAGUGGAAUUCCCGGUGUAGUGGUGAAAUGCGUAGAUAUCGGGAGGAACACCAGUGGCGAAGGCGACUACCUGGCUGUUCUUGACGCUGAGGCGCGAAAGCGUGGGGAGCGAACAGG